AGGAAGGUGUCCGAAGUCCUGGAUCAGCUCUUCAACACUUAUGACCGCCAGGAACAAGUUGACGUCAAUGUCCUCCGUGCUGCCGUCCUCCGUGCUCUCCCUACAUAUCUGCAUGAGGAUGACUCCGGAUUUCUGAAGCUGUGGGAUCAGGCCCUGUCAGAUGAACUGCAAAUCGACAACAUACCAGUUGGGCUCCUCCUGAUCAGUGCCACUUCAACAGAUGCUGCGGUAUUCUGCCCCGAGAAGGUUGCCGUUGUGCUUGAGGCGCCAAACUUUGAGAAGCCCUUUAAACUUCAGGUGGACGCAAGUGGAGUUGGUGCAGGAGCUGUACUGUUGCAAGAAGGGAAG